AUGGAACCCCUUGAAGGAUCUGAGAUGUUCAUGGAACCCAUUGAAGGAUCUGAAAUAUUUGUGGAACACCUUGAAGGAUCUGAGAUGUCUAUGGAACCCCUUGAAAGAUUCUGUGGCAAAGGGAAGUUCUUCAUCUCAACGAAACCCAAGAGUUUGCGAGCUACUGUCCAUCUAUUCCCUUACGGGAUAGACGAUGGUGGUCUCCGUGUUCCUAUCUAUGCUGACCUAUCUAUGCUGAGGAGGGUUGGGAGGUUUUUGUCCUGCUAUGUGUCACUGUGGUACAUCUUUGGAGGUGGAACCCAUCUGACUAUCACUGGCCAGCCAGCUGUCCCUCCUUCGGUGUCUCUCUUCCCUCCAUCCCAGGAAGAGCUCCAGAGCAAGAACAAAGCCACCUUGGCCUGUCUGAUGGAUGGCUUUCACCCGGGUGUUGUCCAGGUUGAGUGGCUGGGUGAUGGCCGCACCAUCUCUACUGGUGUGGAGACCACCAAGCCUGUCAAACAAGGUGACAAGUAUAUCGCCAGCAGUUACCUGACUCUCAAUCGUUCUGAAUGGGAAGCCAAUGAGAGUUACACCUGCAAGGUGACCCAUGAAAGCAAGACCAUUGAGAAGGUGGUCAGCCGGUCGGCAUGUUCUGUAGGUAUCCAUGACCUAUCUAUGCCAAGGAGGGUUGGGAGGUUUUUGUCCUGCAAUGUGUCACUGUGGUACGUCUUUGGAGGUGGAACCCAUUUGACCGUCACUGGUCAACCAGCUGUCCCUCCUUCGGUGUCUCUCUUCCCUCCAUCCCAGGAAGAGCUCAAGAGCAAGAACAAAGCCACCUUGGCCUGUCUGAUGGAUGGCUUUCACCCGGGUGUUGUCCAGGUUGAAUGGCUGGGUGAUGGCCUCACCAUCUCUUCUGGUGUGGAGACCACCAAGCCUGUCAAACAGGGUGAAAAGUAUAUUGCCAGCAGCUACCUGACUCUCAGUCGGUCUGAAUGGGAAGCUAAUGAGAGCUACACCUGCAAGGUGACCCAUGAAAGCAAGACCAUUGAGAAGGUGGUCAGCCGAUCAGCAUGUUCCUAAAUGAUGGAUGUCCCAUUGGUGGCUUCCAUGUGUCCAUCUACCACCAAAGGGCCAGCUACCUUUUCUGAUUACUACUUAAUGUCAGCUUAAUUGAUAAAGCUUCACAUUUUCUCCUAUGUCAAUUCCACUUUCUCUCCUGUCAGCAUGCCUCUACCCCCAAGAAAUCCAUGUCUAUCUGUCUUUCUUAUGAUAGCACAUUAAUAAAAGUUGUUACAUUUCAUUGA